GGAGUGGAGAUUGGAGACCCGAGCUCGCUGGUGACGUAGAUCUCACGUGACCAGGAGUCGACGUGUACCUAAGUCCUGCUAGUCUGGUCCUUGUUCGCGUCUGGGUAUCACCUUUCCUUUAGCAGGCAAAUCGCAGAGCCUGAGGCCAGUGGAAAGAGGAGUUAACUUGACGGAAUUUUGCAGGUCUGUUAUUCCUAGCACUACACAAGGCUAGAAGAGGCAAGGAAGAAACUGUUCGGAUCAUUACAGGGUGAGUGAUCUCUCCCAGAAAACUGGUGACAGGCCCUCCUCACUAGUUCGACAGAUGCCUCUAGACCUGAAUGAAGCAGGCACUAGACUCUCCUUUGCUGAUGACCAGGCUGUCCUGGAUAUACUUACCUGGAGGAUGACAACAGUCCCUAUAGCAGAGAGAGACAGAGCAUGAGCAGGGGAGGGGAAGAGAGAGAGAGAGACACAGAAUCCAAAGCAGGCUCCAGGCUCUGAGCUGUCAGCACAGAGCCCGACGUGGGGCUCAAAUUCAUGGAGUGAGAGAUCAUGACCUGAGCUGAGGUCGGAUGCUUAACCAACUGAGCCACCCAGGUGCCCCAAAAGAUUCUUCUUUAAAUGUUUGGUAGAAUUCAGUAGUGAAGACAUGUAGGCCUACAUUUUCCUUGUGGGUAGUUUUAUUAUUAUUAUUAUUAUUACUUAUUCAGUCUCUUCACUUGCUAUAAAUUUCUUCAGAUUAUCUAUUUUUUCUUGAGAUAGUUUUGGCAGUUUGUGUAUUUCUGGUAAUUUGUCCAUUUCACCUAAGUUAUCUAAUAUAAUGGGAUACAGUAUUUUAUAUUAUUCCUUUAUGAUCCUUUUUCAUAUCGAUAAGGUCAGUAGUCAUGACCUUUGUUUAAAUUUCUGAUUCUAGUAAAUUGAGUUCUCUCUCUCUCUCUUCUCUCUCUCCCAACCCCUACCUCCAUCAGUCUAGCUAAAGUUUGUCAAUAUUAUUGAUCUUUUCAAAGAACCAGUUUUGGUUUCACUAGUUUUCUCUACUUGUUCCAUUCUCCAUCUCAUUAAUUCAUGCUCUACUUAUUAUUAUCCCACUUUCUACUUGCUUUAUGUUUAGUUUGCUCUUUUUUUUCCCCAGUGUCUUAAGGUGGAAAGUUAGGAUUUUGAUUUGAGACCUUUCUUCUUUUUUAAUAUAGACAUUUAAAACUAUAUAUUUCCCUCUAAGCUCCAUCCCAGAAGUUUGGAAUAUUGUA